GCCCUGAGCUGCCUGCAGAGCAACUAAUCAUGGGCAGUUACCACAGUGGCACAUCAUAAACAGUCUGUAAAAGACCCGGGGAGCCAGCUCACUCCCUCCCAGAGCCACAGACUCCCCAGCACAUGCGCAUAUGCACAGCUGCCCCCUGCAAGAGACCAGCGUGGCUGCCCAGGGCCCUCUUCUAUUGUGUCUUUAUCUUGGUCACAAACUCCUCCAAGGAAGAAGGGCCAGCAGCAUUUUACCUAUGGGGGAUCACAGGCUCAGACAGAGUGUUCUUCAGCAAGACCACAGAGGGAGCAAGCUGCAGGGGAAAUGGUUGUUGCACAGAACAGGGAUAGAAUAAAGGCUGAACCCACUGCGAGCUACCCAAAGCCCUUCCAAAUCUCUGUCUCUCACUCUCACAGGAGCCAUCUGUAGAUGCAGAAAGGGAGGCUCAGAGGAAGGAAAUCCUGGUCUGCCACAGCCCCUCCCACAAUUGGGAUAACCUUCCCAUAACAGAACUCUGGCCGCGCCGCAUCACUCCAAAGCCCACUGGCUCCUGACUAUUGCAGUGGGAUGUCAUCUUCAUUAGAUUCAUUCUCUCCCACAGCAGCGUUCUGAAAAGUCAGCUUAGUGCACUUGUGUGCCCCUCAGUAUCCCGUCUCUCUCAAAGCUGCACUCUGCUGAAGUUAUGGCUUCUGUCCGGAUGCUUCUCCUGCCACACCUCCACCUGGUUGGCACCUGGGUUGAGCAUCCCGUAUGGGUUUUCAUGGAUCUCUGGGAUUGGAUGUUGGGCCCCACAAGGACAGGAACAUAGGGAUGUUCCUAACUCCCAACAUCCAGACUGUCCAGAAAGACUCUCACUGCAGGGGUCACUGUCUCCACUUGCGAGAAGCAUCCUCCACCCCACUCUCAUGGGCGCAGAGAGGAGAGGGGCGGAAUAUGCUGAGAUCCCCGCAUGUCACACAUCCCCAGCCUGCUGUGUGGACAUGCGCGCCCGUGGCCCAUCCAGGUCCUCCGUGAGAUGGGCUCCCAUUGUCCCUGCACAGUGACAGUAAGCCAAGCGGAGAAAGAGUGUGCCCGGAAUCAGAAGGCACGAGUUCUCGGCCUGUUCCUGCAAUUUCCUGUGUGGUCACUGUUGUCACUCUCCACUGUUGAAAGGGCUCAAAGUCACCCCAACUCUAAAAUGCAAGAAAUAUGGAAGCUGGGUCUCAGGGAUGCUAUGCAUGUGGUCAUUUGGGGGACAAAAGGAAACAUUCCCUGCAGGGGCUUGUUGGAUCCCUUAGAAUAAACACCUGGGGACUCUGGUUUCUUACAGUUGGAACCUUCCCUGUUGAAGCAGUACAUAAGGGCUGACCAUGUAUGUGGGGCUCCAGUGCCCAACCAGAUUGGGAACGAUUCAUAUCUUGUAAGACACUCUGGUUUAACCUAAUGCAGUCCAGGUUAAGUUAAAGUGCAUGCACAAACACACACACUGAAAGGGGUGGGCUGGGUGCCCUGUGACUCUCAGCCUACUAGCUGCCUCCCUGGGCAGUGGUCCUGGGGAGAGAGGCCUGUCCAGAUGAAAGGAGAGAGGAGCAGAUUUAUGGGUGAG
ensembl:lincRNA